rnacentral:tRNA from 1 species
GGGCGGCACAAGCGGAAGGGCGUACCGCGGCGGGUUGCUAACCCGAACGUGCCUCAUGGGUAUCUGGUUCGAAUCCAGGGCCGCCCGCCA